rnacentral:ncRNA from 1 species
UGCCCUAAGAACUUCAUGGGAUCGUGAAGGCCUGUGGUGGGUGUUGAUGCAAUAUGAUUUCUGCCUAGUGCUCUGAAAGUCAAAAUGAAGAAAUUCAAUGAAGCACAGGUAAAUGGUGGGAGUAACUAUGACCACCUUAAGGUAGCCAAAUGCCUCAUCAUCUAAUUAGUGAUACAUGUGAAUGAAUAAACAA